rnacentral:rRNA from 1 species
ACUACGGGAGGCAGCAGUGAGGAAUAUUGGUCAAUGGCCGGAAGGCUGAACCAGCCAAGCCGCGUGAAGGACGAAGGUGCCAAGCAUUGUAAACUUCUUUUGUCAAGGGACAAAAUCAGGCUCGAGAGCCUGAACGAGGGUACUUGAAGAAAAAGCAUCGGCUAACUCCGUGCCAGCAGCCGCGGUAAUAGGGAGGAUGCGAGCGUUAUCUGGGUUUAUUGGGUUAAAAGGUUGCGUAGGCGGGCUGUUAAUUUAGCGGUAAAAGCCCGGGGCUCAACCCCGGCGAGCCGUUGAAACUGGCUGUCUUGAGAUGUCGAGAGGUAUGCGGAAUGCGCAGUGUAGCGGUGAAAUGCUUAGAUAUUGCGCAGAACUCCGAUUGCGAAGGCAGCAUACCGGCGGCGAUCUGACGCUGAGGCACGAAAGCGUGGGUAUCGAACAGGAUUAGAUACCCCAGUAGUC